CAAAGGAGAAUGGUAGGAAGUGGGAAAGAUUCAUGACAUGUUCAAGCUGAAACUGCAAAUAAUAAGCUUUAUAUCUUUCCUGGAGGGUUUCUCAACUGGGCAACCCCCUCAAUUUGCGUCAUGGAUCAACAGAUUGGACAAAUAAUUACUUCAGAUAUUUCCUGCAAAGACAUGAAACAAGCUUCCUGAAAGAAAGUCUCCCUCGUUGUUUCCACAUUGACAGGUGGCCUCAUCACUCCGAGCAUUACAGACCACCUUGAAGAUAUCAGCGCCAGUGGCCUUUGAAGUCAGAAUAAUCAACAAGCCAUUUGAUACUCGAUCAGAUGAAAUAGCCUUGUCAGAAAAGGCCAGCUCUCAGCAAAACUCAAGGUGGCUAAGACGAAAUACGAAGGACUGAAAGCAGACAAAUGAAAGAGGCCUUUUUUCCCUGCCCUUCCUGCUCACACAGUGUCUGGCUGCUGAUGGAACAGAAAGUGGAUAACAGAGGGGAGAGGCCAUGAGAGGAAGUUCAUUCUCUCACCCCCUCCUUCUGUGGCACUGAAGGACUUGGAAUGUAAAGCAUGAGAUAUGCCAGGUAGUUCCUGUAGUAUUGCUUUAGUGAUGUAUUUUAUAAGGUUUUUAAAUAGUGGCGUGAAUAUAUCAUUUUCUUUCUUAAAUUGUGCAAAGAAGCUUUUUAAAAGCUAAAAAGGGCCUCCUGAAAAUAAUGAUUUAAUCAGAAACUGUUUUGAAGUACCAACUCUAAGUAAAUAUGAAUUGCACACAUCCUUCCAAAUGAAAACAUGUUUGGAAACAUGUUUAUUACUCAAUUUCCAAGGAUGUACAGCACCAUGUAUUGGGCUAGCCUAUUUUAUCUGUACAACAAUUUUAUCUUUACAGCAGGUUAGGCUGAGAGAUGGUUGGUUGCCUGAAGCCUCCCACAGGAAACACUAGCAGUGUGUCCUUUUCCUUAUCCUGCAUUACACUUUCCCCAUUAUUGUGUCUCUGUUGUCAAAGUUACUGUUAGCUACAAUGUGAAAGCCCAGCUCCCUUCUGACCCUUAAUCCCAGAAGGAAAUAAUUGUUUAUCCUAUUUAUAUGCUUGGAUGGUACAAAGAACUGUGUUUAAAACCAUAACAUCACUUUCCUGCAUUUCAGUAGUAGGGCACUGCAUUUUUUUCAUAAAAAUGUGUCAGACAUUUUGCUGUGUUUAGCACCUAACGAGGAAGCAGCAUUCUUCAGUAUGAAUGGCCACAGUUCAUUCCAAGAGUAAUGAUAAAUGUCAAGGGAAACUGGAGUGCUCAACCACAAUGCGAAAUGAUCUAUUGGUAGUCGUUAGCACAACCCAAACACUAAAAGCUUCCUCUCCUCUAAUGUCUAGGAUUUGCAGGUGUUUCAGAUCAUGAAGGUUCACACCAGACACCGUCCAAAAUAGAGGCCAGCUUCCUGACUUAUUAGGGCCUAUGGAAACAAUGUUGCUGCUAUUACCUACAAAUAACCCCUGAGGUUUGACAGCUGGCACCUUCAGCAACCUUUCUAGGCACAUCUUCAUCACAGCUUUGAUCCUGACAGUAGGUAGAGAGGAAAUCUUUUGUUAACCUAUAAAGAAGAUGGUGCUGCUUCAGGGAACAUUAAUCAGCCUUUUCAUGAAGAUUGUAGUAAUAAUUUUAAGUGGCUUUCUUGUAACAGGCACAUACAAUAAAUGAUGAAUGGGAAAUAUUCUUCCUGGACUAAAACUAAGACUGGGAGCUUUAUACAGACUAGAACUGUUAGCUUGUCAUUGUUAGACACAAUUAAUCCCUAACAUAUUUAUUUUUGAUUGAUCAGGUUAUAUAUGAAUAAUUACCUUUCAAGCAUAUGGGAAAUAAUACACGUAAGUUCUAGUUAGGUGUAUAUAGAUGAGUAUAAACCUGAGUGAUUUUGUAAGACUAACAGAUGCUUAUGUAACCCCCAUGCCCUGAAUGGAUUGGCCCAGAAUGGGUUGACCCAGUAAGGGGGUGGAGACUCGGAGCAGCAGAG